CUGAGGCGCGGGCGUCAGGGCUGCUCCUCGGCGUGUGACGGCCCGGCGCGCGGCCCCGCGGCCACGCUGCUCCCCGGAGCCCUUCCAGGCCUUGAGGGGCUUGCUUCUCAGGCACGGCCUGGCCUCAGGUUCCAGGUCUUCAACUUUGAAGCUAGAUGACAACUCUAUUCUGUCUCCUGCUUGUGUCUCCCCAAGACAAAUGAGGACUUCUUUGAGGUCAUACCUAGUUAAUGAUAGAGCCAAUCUUGGACAACAAAUCUUGCGCACAACAUGGGACUGAACAAGCUGAAAUGAAACCCUUUGGUGAUGUCAGCAAUGGGUUAAAGGGAAUUGCCAUGAGAAAAGCUGCCCCAUUGUGACACCUUCAUUAUCUGGCUAUUCCUGAUGAAGUCUUCGGGAUGGCCUGAUUUAUUCAGCAGACACAUUCAAGAUAUUGAGAUUUGUGACUCAUAGUCCCUGCCACAGAGGUGCUCAGU